rnacentral:tRNA from 1 species
GCGCCCGUAGCUCAGCCGGAUAGAGCAACGGAUUUCUAAUCCGUAGGUCGCAGGUUCGAAUCCUGCCGGGCGCG